AUGAACGCUGGCGGCGUGCCUAAUCCAUGCCAGUCGAGCGCACGGACGAGAAGCUUGCUUCUCUGAUGUUAGCGGCGGACGGGUGAGUAACACGUGGAUAACCUACCUAUAAGACUGGGAUAACUUCGGGAAACCGUAGCCAAUACCGGAUAAUAUUUUGAACCGCAUGGUUCAAAAGUGAAAGACGGUCUUGCUGUCACUUAUAGAUGGAUCCGCGCUGCAUUAGCUAGUUGGUAAGGUAACGGCUUACCAAGGCAACGAUGCAUAGCCGACCUGAGAGGGUGAUCGGCCACACUGGAACUGAGACACGGUCCAGACUCCUACGGGAGGCAGCAGUAGGGAAUCUUCCGCAAUGGGCGAAAGCCUGACGGAGCAACGCCGCGUGAGUGAUGAAGGUCUUCGGAUCGUAAAACACUGUUAUUAGGGAAGAACAUAUGUGUAAGUAACUGUGCACAUCUUGACGGUACCUAAUCAGAAAGCCACGGCUAACUACGUG
rnacentral:rRNA from 1 species